CUUUUCGAGCAGCGACUGCCAAGCUGUCAAGAUUUACAGAAAAACUCAUUGUGAAUAUCCGCGGACCGCUUCAAAUCAACAAUGACUUUCCGUGUCUUUCGGGAAUGUUCGAAGUUAACCUUCUGACAAGUUUUACAAAACAAUCAAGAAUCUCUGAAGAGAAACCCUGGGAACGGAGCGCGUGUGUAGCAGGCGCGUGAACCUGUUGUGGUCUCAUACCAUUUACGACCACGAGACCAGAAAUCUGCCCACCUCCGGGACACGGAGCGCUGCAGUGCUGCAACAGACUGGUGACUAGCUGCUAAUCUACUUCUGGACGUGCUGAGCAAUGAUACCACACUGAGAAAGAAGCGGGGAAUACAUCUGGUAGUGCUUAAAUAUAAGUAUAAAGGAGAGAUGAAGUGUGCUUGAACAGCAGAAAGCAGCAGGAUGAAGAGUAGUGUGCAGCUAGGGCUGUUGUGUCUCAGCCUGCUCAUCUCCAGUCUUCAUGGAGGAGGAGAAGAAGUCGAGCCAGAUUCGAGCAAGGAAAUCGGAACCAACUUUGAUGAGCCGGAUCUUCAUCAGUUUAAGAUGUACAGAGCACGAAGACAGACGGUCUCCACAGAGGAGGAAAGUACAGCAAAGACAGUAGCUCUUGUGCCAUCAAGUGUAUGUACACAUCUAAUAAAGUAAAAUUUGCACCAAUUUUUCCAGCUGUG